AUGGGCAUUGACAUAUCAGGUAACUACACUGUCAAGAUGAUGUACCGUGCUCUCGUGACUCAGAACGAGCGUUUGGCUCUAGAGGAAGGGACGGCUACCGAAACCUCAUCCGAUGAUAAACAGUUGUGGAAAUCCUUGUGGAAGUUGAAUGUUAUCCCAAAAGUACGAGUGUUCUGGUGGAGAGUGUUACGUGGCAUUCUUCCGGAUGAAACAACUCUCAACUAUCGACACAUUGCAGAUGCUCGCCAGUGUAAUGUUUGUCGCUCUACGAAGGAGGACCUGAAGCAUGCACUAAUACAUUGUAUACAUGCACAGAGCUUCUGGGAAGAGGCAUGGACAUGGCUCGGUCUUCGUCUUCCUCCUCUCCACUCGGUUACGUGGGCUCGAGAUAUCACUUGUGAUCCUCAGUUCACAUCCGAUGAUCGUGCCAAGAUCACCAUGAUUAUGUGGGCAAUUUGGCACUCCAGGAACCGAAUCAAACAUGGUGAAGAGGGGAGAGAUCUUGUAACAUCUAUCAAAUAUAUUAAGGAGGCUAUCUCCCUCCUCCAACUACCACGAAAGGAAACUCGGGUCCUACCGGGUUAUGGUUGGCGGCCUCCUGAGGGGGGUUCGGUCAAGAUUACGACGGACGGCGCUCAGGAGCUGGUUGAAGGCCGGGGUGGUGCUGGAGGAGUAGCUAGAUCAUCAUCGGCUCUCCUGGGUUCAUGGUGUAAACCAUACAUGGGAGUUUCGGACCCUCUGAUGAUGGAGUGUUUGUCAUUGCGCGAUGGAGUCCGCUUUGCAUGUCUCCGUGGGUUUCAGCAUGUGAUCAUGGAGGUCGACUGUUUGGAGCUGGUGAAGUUCUGGCAAACUCGCCACAAUUCUCAUUCAAUUGUGGCUCCUUUACUUUUAGAAAUAGGAGAGCUAUGUACCUCUUUUGCUUCUUUUGAUAUUUUUCAUGUAAAUCGAGCGGCAAAUGUUCUGGCGCAUCUGUGUGCGAAGCGUGCUUGCACACUGAAUGUGACCGAAAGCUGUCUCGAAGAAACC
rnacentral:rRNA from 1 species